rnacentral:rRNA from 1 species
CCCUUAGAUGUUCUGGGCCGCACGCGCGCUACACUGAUGCAUUCAACAAGCCUAGCCUUGACCGAGAGGUCCGGGUAAUCUUUGAAACUGCAUCGUGAUGGGGCUAGAUUAUUGCAAUUAUUAAUCUUCAACGAGGAAUGCCUAGUAAGCGUGAUUCAUCAAAUCGCGUUGAUUACGUCCCUGCCCUUUGUACACACCGCCCGUCGCUCCUACCGAUUGAAUGUGUUGGUGAGGAGCUCGGAUUGGCAGCAGUUGGUGGUUCGCCACCGGCUAUUGCUGAGAAGUCCUCCAAACCGUCCCAUUUAGAGGAAGGAGAAGUCGUANCA